CUGGGUGUCAGUGGGACCUUUUUGUGAAACCUCUCUACUUGGUCGACAGGUGAGGACUGUGAAGCAGAAGGAAAAAGUGAGUUCUGUUUGUUUCGGACACAAUUAAAAGAUGAUGUUGAUCCCCAGAGGGCUUUAUCUUGGGAUUCUGGACUGUAAUUUCACCCAGCUUUUCUUUUAGUGCCCGUUGGACGGAGAACUGAUAAGGGCAUGUGUCCGAUACACUCUGCCUGUCCACGGGGAUGUGCUGUACCCGAGGCAAAGAGACCGAACCGGAACCAUGACCACUCCUUUUCACUCUGUGUCCAAUGCUCCUCUCAUCAUAAUGUAAAUAUGUCCACCUAAAGUAAAGUGAUUCUUAUGUUUGCUGAACAAUGAAUUGAUGCUCAGUUGUCAUACUUGAUUGUCAAUCUAUGCACAUGAUGCCAUUUUCAGUUUUUCACAAUACAAUUUAGUAUCCAAAUUUCUUAUCUACUUGUU